GAUGUAAACCUAAUAGCGUAAUUAACUUGACUAAUAAUGGGAUUAGUUUUUUAGCUAUUUAUAGCUAAUUAACACAAUCCCGGGGCGUUCUAUAUAGUUAUGUAUAAUGUAUAUUUAUAUUAUUUAUGCCUCUAACUGGAACGUACCUUGAGCAUAUAUGCUGUGACCCGAAAGAUGGUGAACUAUACUUGAUCAGGUUGAAGUCAGGGGAAACCCUGAUGGAAGACCGAAACAGUUCUGACGUGCAAAUCGAUUGUCAGAAUUGAGUAUAGGGGCGAAAGACCAAUCGAACCAUCUAGUAGCUGGUUCCUUCCGAAGUUUCCCUCAGGAUAGCUGGUGCAUUUUAAUAUUAUAUAAAAUAAUCUUAUCUGGUAAAGCGAAUGAUUAGAGGCCUUAGGGUCGAAACGAUCUUAACCUAUUCUCAAACUUUAAAUGGGUAAGAACCUUAACUUUCUUGAUAUGAAGUUCAAGGUUAUGAUAUAAUGUGCCCAGUGGGCCACUUUUGGUAAGCAGAACUGGCGCUGUGGGAUGAACCAAACGUAAUGUUACGGUGCCCAAAUUAACAACUCAUGCAGAUACCAUGAAAGGCGUUGGUUGCUUAAAACAGCAGGACGGUGAUCAUGGAAGUCGAAAUCCGCUAAGGAGUGUGUAACAACUCACCUGCCGAAGCAACUAGCCCUUAAAAUGGAUGGCGCUUAAGUUGUAUACCUAUACAUUACCGCUAAAGUAGAUGAUUUAUAUUACUUGUGAUAUAAAUUUUGAAACUUUAGUGAGUAGGAAGGUACAAUGGUAUGCGUAGAAGUGUUUGGCGUAAGCCUGCAUGGAGCUGCCAUUGGUACAGAUCUUGGUGGUAGUAGCAAAUAAUCGAAUGAGACUUGGAGGACUGAAGUGGAGAAGGUUUCGUGUGAACAGUGGUUGAUCACGAGUUAGUCGGUCCUAAGUUCAGGCGAAAGCCGAAAAUUUUAAGUAAAACAAAUGCCUACUAUAUAACAAAGCGAUAUAUACACUUGAAAAUUUGACGAAGGGAUACGGUUCAAUUCGUAACUGUUAGGUACGGUUGUUUAAAUGGGCGCGGCCUCCGACACAGAACACUAAAAACCCCAGAAAUGAAAUGUUUUUCUUUU
rnacentral:ncRNA from 1 species